GACGAACGCUGGCGGCGUGCUUAACACAUGCAAGUCGAACGGAAAGGCCCUGCUUCUGUGGGGUGCCCGAGUGGCGCACGGGUGAGUAACACGUGAGUAACCUGUCCUUGACUCUGGGAUAACUUCAGGAAACUGGCGCUCAUACCGGCUAGGAGCUCCUGUUGCAUGGUGGGGGAUGGAAAGUUUUGGCGGUUGGGCAUGGUCUCUCGGCUUCUCAUCUGGUUGGUGGGGUAGUGGCUUCCCACGGCUUUGACGGGUAGCCGGCCUGGGAGGGUGACCGGCCACAGUGGGACUGAGAUACGGCCCAGACUGCUACGGGAGGCAGCAGUGGGGAAUAUUGCACAAUGGGCGGAGGCCUGAUGCAGCAGCGCGGCGUGCGGGAUGACGGCCGUCGGGUUGUAGGCCGCUUUAGCGUGUGGCGAAGCGUGAGUGACGGUAAUGGGUGAAGAAGCACCGGCUAACUACGUG
rnacentral:rRNA from 1 species